AUACGGAGGGUGCAAGCGUUAAUCGGAAUUACUGGGCGUAAAGCGCGCGUAGGCGGCUCGAUAAGUCGGAUGUGAAAGCCCCGGGCUCAACCUGGGAACUGCAUUCGAAACUGCCGAGCUAGAGUUUGAUAGAGGAGAGUGGAAUUCCACAUGUAGCGGUGAAAUGCGUAGAUAUGUGGAGGAACACCAGUGGCGAAGGCGGCUCUCUGGAUCAAAACUGACGCUGAGGUGCGAAAGCGUGGGUAGCAAACAGGAUUAGAAACCCCUGUAGUCC
rnacentral:rRNA from 1 species